rnacentral:tRNA from 1 species
GGCGCGGUGGCAGAGUGACUAUGCGGUGGACUGCAAAUCCAUGUAGGUUGGUUUAAUUCCAGCCCGCGCCUCCA